AUUGAACGCUGGCGGCAGGCCUAACACAUGCAAGUCGAGCGGUAGAGAGAAGCUUGCUUCUCUUGAGAGCGGCGGACGGGUGAGUAAUGCCUAGGAAUCUGCCUGGUAGUGGGGGAUAACGUUCGGAAACGGACGCUAAUACCGCAUACGUCCUACGGGAGAAAGCAGGGGACCUUCGGGCCUUGCGCUAUCAGAUGAGCCUAGGUCGGAUUAGCUAGUUGGUGAGGUAAUGGCUCACCAAGGCGACGAUCCGUAACUGGUCUGAGAGGAUGAUCAGUCACACUGGAACUGAGACACGGUCCAGACUCCUACGGGAGGCAGCAGUGGGGAAUAUUGGACAAUGGGCGAAAGCCUGAUCCAGCCAUGCCGCGUGUGUGAAGAAGGUCUUCGGAUUGUAAAGCACUUUAAGUUGGGAGGAAGGGUUGUAGAUUAAUACUUUGCAAUUUUGACGUUACCGACAGAAUAAGCACCGGCUAACUCUGUGCCAGCAGCCGCGGUAAUACAGAGGGUGCAAGCGUUAAUCGGAAUUACUGGGCGUAAAGCGCGCGUAGGUGGUUUGUUAAGUUGGAUGUGAAAUCCCCGGGCUCAACCUGGGAACUGCAUUCAAAACUGACUGACUAGAGUAUGGUAGAGGGUGGUGGAAUUUCCUGUGUAGCGGUGAAAUGCGUAGAUAUAGGAAGGAACACCAGUGGCGAAGGCGACCACCUGGACUAAUACUGACACUGAGGUGCGAAAGCGUGGGGAGCAAACAGG
rnacentral:rRNA from 1 species